rnacentral:rRNA from 1 species
CACGCACACACGCGCGGCAUAUCAAUAAGCGGAGGAAAAGAAACUAACUAGGAUUCCCUUAGUAACGGCGAGUGAAGCGGGAAGAGCUCAAAUUUGAAAUCUUCAAGGUUCUACCUCGACGAAUUGUAGUUUAAAGAAGUGUUUUCUGUUAGUGGAGUGGCAAAAGUUCUUUGGAAUAGGACAUCAUAGAGGGUGAGAAUCCCGUAUUUGGUCAUUCUUUCUAGCUUUGUGAUACACUUUCAAAGAGUCGGAUUGUUUGGGAAUGCAGUCCAAAAUGGGUGGUAAAUUUCAUCUAAAGCUAAAUAUUGGCGAGAGACCGAUAGCGAACAAGUACCGUGAGGGAAAGAUGAAAAGAACUUUGAAAAGAGAGUUAAACAGUACGUGAAAUUGUCAAAAGGGAAGCGUUUGACACCAGUGUUGUUUUUCCGAAAAUCAAUUACUAAAUGUUUUAGUUUUGAGGAGUGAUGACUCCAUCGGCUUGCUCCUUUCUUUAUGAAACUUUCUUAAUGCACUUUUCGGUUAACAAGUCAACAUCAAUUUCUUUUGUUGUAAAAGAGUAUGAGGAAGGUGGCUUUCUUUUCGGAGAAAGUGUUUAUAGCCUUGUAGCCUCUACAAUCGGAGAGAUUGAGGUCUGCAGCGUAGAUCCUUCGGGGUUAGAUACAUUUGUGCUAAGUUAUAGCUUUUCAUAGACAACUUGUUGACUAUGUUUAGUCUUGUAGCUUACUCGCUUAUGCUAUUUUACCUACGCUUAGGAUGUUGAUAGUCACAGCGUGUAC